rnacentral:rRNA from 1 species
UACAGAGGUCCCAAGCGUUGUUCGGAUUUACUGGGCGUAAAGGGAGCGUAGGUGGCAUUCUAAGUCUGAUGUGAAAGCUCUGAGCUUAACUCAGAAAUGGCAUUAGAAACUAGUUUGCUUGAGGAUUGGAGGGGAGAUUGGAAUUCUUGGUGUAGCAGUGAAAUGCGUAGAGAUCGGGUGGAACACCAGUGGCGAAGGCGGCAUCCUGGCCCUGACCUGACGCUGAGGCGCGAGAGCGUGGGGAGCAAACGGG